UCCCUCCAUCUCUUGGUCUCUCUCUCUCACGCUCCUGCCCCACGAGAGCUCGCUCGCGGCGGCGGCCGCCGGCCCCCCAGCGCCGCCCCCAAGCCGCGCCCUGCACGCCGACGACGCGCCGCACUCCCCCGACGCGCCGCACGCCCCGGCUCCCGGUCGGCGCAGGACGACCCCGACGCGCCGCCCCCCUGCUCCCGGCCGGCCGGCGCGGCGCACGCCCCUGCCACCGGCCCCCAGCGCGCCAUGCUCGAGAUGUCGAGCUGCUCCAGAGAAGAGGAGCCCCACAAAGAAGUUGAAGCCAAGGAGAAUGAAACUCACAUGAUUACACUGAGAACUAUGUCCAAGUGCUAUUGUUUAGACCUAUGUAUUGUGAUUGUAUGGACCUAUGUACUUUGAAUCUAUCUGCAUGUGAUCUGCUAUUUGAAUCUAUGUAUGUACCUAUGUACUUUGAAUCUAUUUAAAUGUAAUCUGCUAUUUGAACUAGAUGUGAUCUGCUAUUUGAAUCUAUGUAUGGACCUAUGUACUUUGAAUCUAUUUAAAUGUAAUAUGCUUGCUUUAUGUCCA